GAAACCGACCUGGCUCACACCGGUCUAAACUCAGAUCAUGUAAAAUUUUAAAGGUCGAACAGACCUAAUCCUUUAGCUUCUACACCAAAAAUAAAUUUUAAUCCAACAUCGAGGUCGCAAUCUUCUUCUUCGAUAAGAACUCUAGAAGAAAUUACGCUGUUAUCCCUAAGGUAAUUUAAUCUUAUAAUCUAAAUAUUAGGAUCAUAAAUAUACAAAUAAAUAAUAUAAUACAAAAAAAGUUUACCUAAUUUUUCUAUCACCCCAACAAAAUAUUUCACCCCUCAGAUUUGGAUAAAAAAUCUAAAAUCCAAGCCUAAAAAAUAAAUAUAAAACUCUAUAGGGUCUUCUCGUCUUCUAUAAACAUUUAAGCUUUUUCACUUAAAAAUAAAAUUUUAAUAAAUUCUCCCAGAGACAGCAAUCUUCUCAUCAAACCCUUCAUUCCAGCUUCCAAUUAAGAAACUAGUGAUUAUGCUACCUUUGCACGGUCAAAAUACCGCGGCCAUUUAACUACUCAGUGGGCAGGCCAGACUUGAAAUAAUAAUCAACAAGCC
rnacentral:rRNA from 1 species